AUUGAGAAGUAUCAUAUGGCUUAGAAACAGGAAUGUACACAAGAUGGCAUAGAUGCUAGUGCCAGCAGUGAAUACUUGCAGUGAUGCGUUUAUCUGUGCUGACUUUACUCAUGAAUGCAUCUGAUGUGUUAGUUGCUUUUCCCUGGUGUUUUGUAAAGGAGUACUUUACCUUCCUUUUCAUUGUGCAGAAGGGAAAUGAACGCUUGUACUAGGAAACCAGGAAUAAUGCAGCUCUAGGCUCCUGUAUGGGCUCAAAGAGACACAGGCUUUGCUAGUAACUUCCAAAUAAAUCCCCUGCAGCAAAAUCAAGAGGAUUUUUUUUUUCCUCCUUCCUCUUUGGAGAACUACAGAAUAUUAACAACUUUAACAUAAUUUAAAAAAAAAAAAGGAAAGAGUUACUGCCAGGUGCCAAGGGUGAUGUUCUCCAGCCAGUGCCAGUUCUGUGCUGAUUGCCUGUAGUGAGGAGAACAGAUGGGGCCCUGGUGGCCUCACCACCCCACCUCCCCCUUCUUUCAACAGGCAUUUUCUUAGGCCAUGAAGAGGAGUUGGAGGCUUUUGCCUCUCUAGCUUUGGGUCUUGGCUGCUCGUGCAUGAAUUUGCACAGAGCCUCUGGGGAGGGAAUAUUCAGUCUCAUGGAGUUCCCCAGGGCCACAGCCAGCAAGCCCUGCCUGCAUCCUGCUGUACUGCUAGAGAAAACUGGGAUCCUGCACUUGUGUUGCAUUGGUCACUCCCUUGCACUUGAAUGGCCCAAUAUAAAGCUCAGGUGUUAAAUUGUGGACUGAACUGCUUGUAAAACAGCCGCCUUACUCAUCAUGCUGCUCCAGGGCAUGCAAUAGCAUCCUGUCUUAUCAUGGAGAAUGCUUUUGAUCGAGUUGGUCCAGAUGAUGGGUGAAGCGUGGCCUGCGAGAAGCAGCAUGUCCAGAGCACCCUGCAAUGGCUUGUUCAGUUGUUGGCAGCCUGAAAGGCUGAGCAAUCUCGAGCUAACUCCUGUGCACAGUGUUGCAUUACCUCAAGCUCGGAUUGGACUGCUGGCUGUGCCUGCUGUCUCUGUCUCAGUGGAGUGGUAGUCUGCUCCUCCAAUGGAAAAGUUGCUUGGGGAGUAAUGGGGUCCUUGGCCAUUCCCACAGAACAAUACUAUUGUGUAUUGCAUCCAGCACUGGCCAUCAUGUGAUUGAUAAAACCUAUAGAAGAUAAUGGCCCACGUUGUCACUCCUCACCCUUAACAACAUGCAUGUUUAGACUGUCAGUCUUUAACAAAACACUAGCAUUAAAACAUUUAACUUGAAGUUAGGAACCAACCAGUUCAUCCUUACUUCAGGCUAGCCCUUCAUCUUCAGAGUCUCAUUAUAGGUCUCCAUUAGCCCCUGUAUGAAGCAGGAGCUCCCUGGUGCUCACCUCACUGACAUGCAUUUUUAAAAGUGUGUCUCAGAUGGGGCUGUCUGUUCCUGUGGCUUUUAACGAAGCAACAACUUCAGUUUGUUAUUUUUUUUUCAGCAUGUUGAAAAGAUGCUCUGGAAAGACAACCCUCCUUCUGACUAGCAAAAGCAGUUUAGGCUAUUUGAAUCCCAUGAGCAACAGAAUGUGUCAGAGUGUGUGCUGUAAUCUCUGCCCUGGGUUGUUAGAGGCCUCUGCAUCACCAUGUGCCUAUUGCUGUGCUGGUGCUAUGUACAUCCUGCAUCACAACAGCACAGUCCCAAUUCGAAUUGCUUAAACUCUUAAGUGUUGGGGUGUGCAACUGGGAUGCAGGAAAACUUUUCUUGAUUAACUUGUCAACAGGACAUGUGACAAAUGAAGUCACCAAGUGCAACCUAGUAUGGUUGGAGUCUCAUGUUUCCUCUGGAUCUUGCCUAACAGCUAGUAAAUCACAAUACAGGGAUUGCAAGGCAAUGAGUAACCUUGCCAUUUGCUUGUGUCUCCCUUGCACCUUGCCAUGCAGCAGUUGGACCCAACAUGGCAUGAGCUGAUAUGGUCCUUAGCGUGAACUUCCUGCAAGCUGUAUAAUUCCAAGGAUGGUAACCUGCUUUAUACUGAAAUAAGCCCACUGACAGAACUGUUCAGACUGCUAGAUCAAGGCAAGUAUUUACCUACAUACACAGCUUGAAGAUCAAAGUUGUGUGAUGCUUCUUAUCUUCAGUAACCUUAUCCAUGGCUUGCAUACUACAGUGAAAUACACUUGUUUUGUGGUAAGUAUUCACAAUUUCUUUCCCCUUCUAACCAUGCUAUCUAUACUCAAAGUUUUUUCAUCCUCAGAAUAUAAGUAGUUCACUUUCAGUGACCCUUAAUGUACAAUUUAGUUAUUUUUUUUUACCAGGUGAGAAAUUGAAGAGAGGAACACUCCUUGCCUCUCUUUUCUGUAUGAUGGUGGCUAACAUGCUAUGGGGUAACUCUAGAAAAAAACCAAAGUCAUUCAUGUUAGGCCAGAUAACUUAAUCUCACAGAAUGUUUUAUUGCCAGCACAAAACUAUAGACAACAUGCUACCAGGCAGUAACGAGGCAUUAAAAUUAACAGUGUGCAAUGUGAGUUAUUGAACACUUCUGCAGCAGUCUUAAUUCUAAUUUAAUGCAAGGUGAAUUCAACAUUUGUUGUAUAUUUAACAUUACUGACUUUGAACUUUGCAGUAAAUGCAGAACUCAAAUGCACAAUUGCAUACACUAUUCAAUAAAGCAAAAUCCAAAAUGUAUCAUAAAUAAGUAUUUUAUAACUUUAUUAAACUCAAGACAUGACAAUAUUCAAAAUACAAAGUGAAUUAUUUUUUAUUCAAUACUGUACAUGAUGCAGAAAUAUCAGUGCAUUUCUAUAGCAUGUAUUUCACCUUCAUUUAGUUUGUACUAAAACAAAUAAAAAGUAAGCUUUAAAAUAGCUCAAACAUCUCAUUCAGCAGUUUAAACUGUAAACAGCUUGUUCACUUCUGUUAGGAGGAACACAUUCAUCUUCUGUACCCCCAUUAAUGAGCACCCUUUCUCUUGUGCUUUUCUGUAAGAGGAUAAAUGUAACCAAAAUGAGCAUGAGAAACUGCUAAUGUGGCACCUCAGUGAACUUCAGUGGAUGGCUGAGGCACAGUGAAGAAAAAUUAAACAGCAAGAAGCAGCAUCAAAGCAGCAAGAGACGGGACUGACACUGUUCAUAAAUGGAAUCAUGUUUUUCCCUCAUACCCUCCUCCUCCUCCCCUAAAAUACUGAACAGAAACCAAAACACAAGACCAGCUUGUGCUGUGUUUCUGUAUUUAAUACAGUCAGAAUUUCAGACUCUAGGUGAGCACACAGUUGUUACUGCCUACCUGACAGCAACCGUGUGGCUGCUCAGGACACUCUCACACGUAUCUAGGAUCCAGCAGGAAAAGAGCAGCAGCAGAGGCUUAGCAAUAGCUGGUCCAAGUCUCUUCUAGGAAAAACUGCAAAACUGAGCCAAGUGUGUCUAGCAAGUGAAUCCACAAAACCAACUCACUUUAAAAGUCUAUUAGCAUCAAAUUAAUUUGUAAAAUAGAUUAAACUUUCAAAAUGUGCUUCCAAUAUGCCUGCCAAGUCUUGAAGUGGGUAUCAAAUCUUGCAGUUACCUUCUUAUCAGGCUGACAUAGCCUAGUCAAAGAGAACAGAGUCUGUUCUCAGUACGGUUACUGUAUAAAAGAAAAUACCCAAUACAAAAACUGUACUGCA